UGACUUUUGGUUCCUGUUGGUGACUUGGUUCAGAGAUAUAUGGGUUCCAGAUGACUUUGGGUCUCAGAUGACUUUGUGGUUCCGAAUUCAAGCCGAAGCUUUGAUCCUGUGCUCCGUAACACACAGCCAACCAGUCGUGUUUGCAUCAUUUGCAUCAUAGCAUGUUUAUUUUCAAAAAAAAUAAUGCAAUAAAAAAAAAGAAAUGAAAAAGAAAAUAGAAAAAAAGCUAAUCUCC
rnacentral:lncRNA from 1 species